rnacentral:rRNA from 1 species
AUACGGAGGGUGCAAGCGUUAAUCGGAAUUACUGGGCGUAAAGAGUACGUAGGUGGUUCGUUAAGUCAGAUGUGAAAGCCCAGGGCUCAACCUUGGAACUGCAUUUGAUACUGGCAAACUAGAGUAUGGUAGAGGGGGGUAGAAUUCCUAGUGUAGCGGUGAAAUGCGUAGAUAUUAGGAGGAAUACCAGUGGCGAAGGCAGCCCCCUGGACCAAUACUGACACUGAGGUACGAAAGCGUGGGUAGCGAACAGGAUUAGAAACCCUAGUAGUCC